rnacentral:rRNA from 1 species
CCUUAACCUGCUAACUAGUGGGCUGAGCGAGAGCUUGGCAGUACUUCUUAGAGGGACUGACUACGUUUAGUAGUCGGAAGUUUGAGGCAAUAACAGGUCUGUGAUGCCCUUAGAUGUUCUGGGCUGCACGCGCGCUACACUGACACAGUCAGCGAGUUAUUUACCUUGACCGAGAGGUCUGGGAAAUCUUGUGAAACUGUGUCGUGCUGGGGAUAGAUCAUUGCAAUUAUUGGUCUUGAACGAGGAAUUCCUAGUAAGCGCAAGUCAUCAGCUUGCGUUGAUUACGUCCCUGCCCUUUGUACACACCGCCCGUCGCUACUACCGAUUGAAUGGCUUAGUGAGGCCUUUGGACUGGGUGCUCUGGGCAACUAGAGCAUCUGGGAAAUUGGUCAAACUUGGUCAUUUAGAGGAAGUAAAAGUCG